ACAUGCCUACAACAUAGUGUUAAUGCACCGGAUCCCAUUAGAACUCCUCAGUUAAGCACGCUCAGGCUAGAGUAGUACUGGGAUGAGUGACUUCCUGGGAAGUCCUAUUGUUUUACAUGCC
rfam:Picea glauca, whole genome shotgun sequence.